rnacentral:rRNA from 1 species
CUACAGAGGGUGCGAGCGUUAAUCGGAAUUACGGGGCGUAAAGCGCGCGUAGGCGGUCUAUUAAGUCAGAUGUGAAAUCCCAGGGCUCAACCUUGGAACUGCAUCUGAUACUGGUAGACUAGAGUUUUGGAGAGGGAAGUAGAAUUUCAGGUGUAGCGGUGAAAUGCAUAGAGAUCUGAAGGAAUACCAGUGGCGAAGGCGACUUCCUGGCCAAAAACUGACGCUGAGGUGCGAAAGCGUGGGUAGCAAACGGGAUUAGAAACCCUAGUAGUCC